ensembl:lncRNA
GGAAAUGCUGACUUACAAGCCCUUAACCAACAGGUGUAGACUUUACUGGGAAAUGCUGACUGACAAGCCCUUAACCAACAGGUGUAGACUUUACCGUGAAAUGCUGACUUACAAGUCCUUAACCAACAGGUGUAGACUUUACUGUGAAAUGCUGACUUACAAGCCCUUAACCAACAGGUGUAGACUUUACUGUGAAAUGCUGACUUACAAGCCCUUAACCAACAGGUGUAGACUUUACCGUGAAAUGCUGACUUACAAGCCCUUAACCAACAGGUGUAGACUUUACUGUGAAAUGCUGACUUACAAGUCCUUAACCAACAGGUGUAGACUUUACUGUGAAAUGCUGACUGACAAG